CUUAGUGAAGAUAGUCAGACCUCGUGGGAUGGAAAUAGAGGCUGAACAGCACACAGAGAUGCAGAGCCAUCCUGUGAAUAUUUUGGUCUAAGCUGGGGUAAGUCCUUUUCUCAAGGUCCUGACCAGGUCCUUAGGAAUAUGCUGAGCUUAAAACCCUUCCCUUUAAGUUUUUGAAUCUCAAAGAAAAGUGUCCUUUGGAGAUGUUGGAUGAAAGUUGAACAUCGGUAGGUGAAACUCUUUGAGCACUUUGCAAACUACUGCAGCCAGACAGCUCUUUGCAUGAAUUCUGAACUGAAGAAUGUCAUUCAAAUUCUUCUGGGCCCAUUUUCUACCACUCCAAAAGGAAAUGCCCAGAGGAAGGGAAGCCUUGGGAAAACAGAAAUAUUAGGAGGAAGCUGUGAUUUCCAAAUGGCAAGACAGCCCCACCAUCAAUACUUGAAGUUGGUAAGAUAAAUGACGCACUGGAGAGAAUGAGGAUUUGAGGAGUUUAUUGCUUAUAUUUGCAUUGAAGAGACCAGAGUCAGAUAAAUGGAAAAGAGAAUAAUGCAAGACUUGUGGAUGUUGGAUUCAUAAAAAAGAAAGCAAAUGAAAGCUGGAGAUGCCUAAAAAAGACUUCUUAUAUGCCAUGAGAGAUAAGCCUCCACCCAGGUAACCCCAACCAGUUCCAGGCUAACACUGAACCCCAUCAAACCAUCCUUCUUACAACUCACGUCGCUCAACCUUAAACAAAACAAGGCAAGGGGAGAGGUGGCUCGUGGUGAUCAAGAAGGCUCCCCUUCUGACAUUAGCAUCUAUUAUCUUCCUGGCUGAAUUCUUCCCUAAAGGGCGCUCGGCAUCCCUAGGUGGUUGCCAGUGUCAAGGCAACCUCACCAACUGUGAAGGUAUCCUGAGCUCCUGGAACAGGCAGAAAAGAAACCUGGCAGGAAGAUUUGGAGGUGGCUGCAAGCUGGCCUGACUUCUGCAGUGAAACAAGUCCCAGGAGCUGGAGGUACACCAUGCUGAGCUCCUGUUUCCUUGGUAAGAGGAGGGGGACUUCCUGGCCUAAGACACAUCUUUCAGGUUGGAGUUGUAAUGACAGUGGUAAUUUUCAACUGUGGAUUAUUGUAAGCUGUUCCAAGCAAGCAUGGAUGACUCCAUUUCAUGGACUGCAGAAAUUCUGUGCCUGUCCUGUCCAGUGAUUGAGUCAUAUCUGGUGCAGGGUAUGGACAAAACAUCUGUAAAAGAAACAGCCCGUAGUAUACAAUAAGAAGGUAAAGAUGUCAAAUAUUUUUAUCUUUUAUUUUUCAGGUAACAAAAAUAUUUUUUUUCCAGACAAAAUCUCCCUUGGAAAUUCACUAUACUAUAUGUAA
rnacentral:lncRNA from 1 species